rnacentral:lncRNA from 1 species
UAUGAAGACACACCAUUGAGACUACUGAGUCUCAGAAGUGAUACCAGGAAAGAGAAAACAUUGGCAGGAACUACCAAGAAGUAAAGGCUUUGAGACUGGAAGCAGGAAGAAACUGAGACCCAGAGACAAGGAAAUGACAUGGUAGCUUGCCUACUGUCACAUAAUAAGGAGUAGGGUCUCAAUGGUUUUGGGACAAAUGCCUGAUGACCUUAUGGAGUAGCUUGUCUCAGUGUUUCAUUUUAAGCAGAAUUCUCCAAACAAAUGGCAUCUCUAAUCUCUUCUAUCAGCUUCAGACUAUGGAAAGGAACACUGAGAAUCAAGGGGUUCCUCUCUCCUUUUGCCUCACCAGCCCUCCAUAGAGUCUCUGUCCCUUCACCGUCUCCAUUCCCUGUUACCAACCCUACUUUAUCCCCUGUACCUUCAAUCCUUACAAGAGAAAAAAGACUUGGAAUUCCCGUCAGAGGUGUUUUCAAGUAUUUGAAGAGUGUCACAGAGAAGAAUGAGAUUCCACUCAUGGAUAUCAUAUAUUUCAUUUCCAUGGCCUUCUAA